GCGGUGGCGGAAGCACAAAGAUCCGCGCCUCCGGUAUCGCUUCGAGCUUCUGGUUCAGCCCGACAACGAGUGAUCGCAGAUCUUCCCCGAGGCCACGCGCGUCCCAGUCCUUUAGAAUGAGAUAUGCAACACCGGCAUUGGCGAGACUGGAACUGUUAUCGAGUGCCGAUAUGCCGGAGAUACCGAUGACCUGCGCGACGCCGGGCGUUUUGCCGGCGAUCUCGG
rnacentral:misc_RNA from 1 species